GAAAUACUUAAUAUAGAGAUUGACGGUGAAUAAAGCUCCAUCGCCAUCUUAGUUGGCUAUUCCUAUACUCAACAUUGAAUGAAAAUGUGUUGCAACUAAAGAUGAUUAAAGCCCCAUGACUACAAUCAGCAGCUAGCCAUAUCAAGCAACAUGCUCUACCAUCGUGGUAGGGAUGAAAUGGUAAGCAUUAAUGAAAUGGCCGAUAUGGUUCUCAGUUUUGAAGCCAUCCAUCCACAUUGCACUGGGUGUUCAAGAUUGUAACUCAAAUUACACUCUCAACAAGGAAAAAACUUGGUUAGGGCUUCAACUAUGAUAUUGAAGGAUGGGCUUAUACUUACAUCUAAAAAGGAGAAAGCUGAUCGUGUAGAUUUAUCAUGGGACUUCUUAGGCAUUCAAAACCUUGGCUCAAGUGCAAUUUGGCUCAGUUUGUGUUGCUGAUGGCGACUGACGAGUGAACUCAUAGUUGUUUAUGCUUAAUGAAGUGAAUUUCUGUUACAUGUAAU